AUUGAACGCUGGCGGCAGGCCUAACACAUGCACGUAGAGCGAGCGGCGGACGGGUGAAUAAUGUCUGGGAAACUGCCUGAUGGCGGGGGGUAACUACUGGAAACGGUAGCUAAUACCGCAUAACAUCAGAUGUGACCAGAUGGGAUUAGCUUGUAGGUGGGGUAACGGUUUACCAAGGCGACGAUCACUAGCUGGUCUGUGAGGAUGAUCCGCAACACUGGAACUGCGACACGGUACAGACGCCUACGGGAGGCAGCAGUGGGGAAUAUUGGACAAUUGGCGAAAGCCUGAUGCAGCCAGGCCGCGUGUGUGAAGAAGGCCUGCGGUGGGUAAAGCACUUUCAGCGGGGAGGCGUGACCCGCAGAAGAAGCACCGGCUAACUUCGUGCCAGCAGCCGCGGUAAUAC
rnacentral:rRNA from 1 species